rnacentral:rRNA from 1 species
AUGGGGGAAUAUUGCACAAUGGGGGAAACCCUGAUGCAGCCAUGCCGCGUGUGUGAAGAAGGCCUUCGGGUUGUAAAGCACUUUCAGUAGGGAGGAAGGUAGUGUAGUUAACACCUGCACUAUUUGACGUUACCUACAGAAGAAGCACCGGCUAACUCCGUGCCAGCAGCCGCGGUAAUACGGAGGGUGCGAGCGUUAAUCGGAAUUACUGGGCGUAAAGCGCAUGCAGGCGGCCUGUUAAGUCAGAUGUGAAAGCCCGGGGCUUAACCUCGGAAUUGCAUUUGAAAACUGGCAGGCUAGAGUCUUGUAGAGGGGGUAGAAUUUCAGGUGUAGCGGUGAAAUGCGUAGAGAUCUGAAGGAAUACCAGUGGCGAAGGCCGGCCCCCUGGACAAAGACUGACGCUCAGAUGCGAAAAGCGUGGGGAGCAAACAGGAUUAGAUACCCUGGUAG